CACACAGCUGUGCCCAUGGCGGCCACACCAGCUGGGCACCUGUAAAAUGAUGGACAUCUUUCUGAACCAAAGCCAAGACUAUGGAUGCGGAAAAAGGAGACUCACGGUCCCUGUUCUACAACCGCGGAAAUGAAGCUCAAGACAAGGUUAAAGAAAUUGCCUGAAGUCAUGGCCUACACUCUGAGCUUGCAAAUUAACAAGAAAGUGCAGAAAACAAGACCCUUCCUUCAUGACUACCUCCCUGUGGCCUCACUCCAGCAUCAGUCACAAAGACAACCG